rnacentral:rRNA from 1 species
GUCUAUGGCCAUGCCACCCUGAACAAGCCUGAUGUCUGAUCUUGUAAGAUAAGCAGGGCCGGGCUUGGUUAGUACUUGGAUGAGAGACCACCUAGGAGGACCAGGUGCUGUAGGUA